rnacentral:rRNA from 1 species
UGCAAGUCGAACGCGAAAGUUCCCUUCGGGGAACAAGUAGAGUGGCGCACGGGUGAGUAACACGUAGGUAAUCUACCUUUGGAUUGGGAAUAACACCGAGAAAUCGGUGCUAAUACCGAAUAAUGCAGCGGCACCUAAUGGUGACAGUUGUUAAAGCGGGGGAUCGCAAGACCUCGCGUCUAAAGAGGAGCCUGCGGCGGAUUAGCUAGUUGGUAAGGUAACGGCUUACCAAGGCGAUGAUCCGUAGCCGGCCUGAGAGGGCGGUCGGCCACACUGACACUGACAUACGGGUCAGACUCCUACGGGAGGCAGCAGUCGGGAAUUUUGGGCAAUGGGCGAAAGCCUGACCCAGCAACGCCGCGUGAAGGAUGAAAUCCCUCGGGAUGUAAACUUCGCAAGAACGGGAAGAAUAAGUCGGUGCUAACACCAUCGGCGAUGACGGUACUGUUUGUAAGCUCCGGCUAACUCCGUGCCAGCAGCCGCGGUAAUACGGGGGGAGCAAGCGUUGUUCGGAUUUACUGGGCGUAAAGGGCGCGUAGGCGGCCACCGCAAGUCGACUGUGAAAUCUCCGGGCUUAACUCGGAAAGGUCAGCCGAUACUGCGGGGCUAGAGUGCAGAAGGGGCAACUGGAAUUCUCGGUGUAGCGGUGAAAUGCGUAGAUAUCGAGAGGAACACCUGCGGCGAAGGCGGGUUGCUGGGCUGACACUGACGCUGAUUGUGCGAAAGCUAGGGGAGCGAACGGGAUUAGAUACCCCGGUAGUCCUAGCCUUAAACGAUGAAUGCUUGGUG